GAGUUUGAUCAUGGCUCAGGAUGAACGCUAGCGGCAGGCCUAAUACAUGCAAGUCGAACGGGUGGUAGCAAUACCACUAGUGGCGCACGGGUGCGUAACGCGUAACCAACCUGCCCUUGACUGGGGGAUAGCCCGCCGAAAGGCGGAUUAAUACCGCAUAUACCAGCAGCCUGGCAUCAGGCAAUUGGGAAAGAUUUAUUGGUCAAGGAUGGGGUUGCGUGACAUUAGCUAGUUGGCGGGGUAACGGCCCACCAAGGCGACGAUGUCUAGGGGAGCUGAGAGGCUGAUCCCCCACACUGGCACUGAGAUACGGGCCAGACUCCUACGGGAGGCAGCAGUAGGGAAUAUUGGGCAAUGGGCGAGAGCCUGACCCAGCCAUGCCGCGUGCCGGAUGAAGGCCUUCUGGGUUGUAAACGGCUUUUCUCAGGGAAGAAAACGGGUCUGCGGACCACACUGACGGUACCUGAGGAAUAAGCACCGGCUAACUCCGUGCCAGCAGCCGCGGUAC
rnacentral:rRNA from 1 species